rnacentral:rRNA from 1 species
UACGAAGGGGGCUAGCGUUGCUCGGAAUCACUGGGCGUAAAGGGUGCGUAGGCGGUCGGGUAAGUCUGAUGUGAAAUCUCACAGCUUAACUGUGAAACUGCAUUGGAUACUAUCCGGCUCGAGGAAUGGAGGGGAGACUGGAAUACUUGGUGUAGCAGUGAAAUGCGUAGAUAUCAAGUGGAACACCAGUGGCGAAGGCGAGUCUCUGGACAUUUCCUGACGCUGAGGCACGAAAGCCAGGGGAGCAAACGGG